GUAGGGGGCAAGCGUUGUCCGGAAUCAUUGGGCGUAAAGCGCGUGUAGGCGGUCCGGUAAGUCGGCUGUGAAAGUCCAGGGCUCAACCCUGGGAUGCCGGUCGAUACUGCCGGACUAGAGUUCGGAAGAGGCGAGUGGAAUUCCCGGUGUAGCGGUGAAAUGCGCAGAUAUCGGGAGGAACACCAAUGGCGAAGGCAGCUCGCUGGGACGUUACUGACGCUGAGACGCGAAAGCGUGGGGAGCAAACAGGAUUAGAUACCCUGGUAGUCCACGCCGUAAACGAUGGGCACUAGGUGUGGGAGGUGUCGACUCCUCCCGUGCCGGAGCUAACGCAUUAAGUGCCCCGCCUGGGGAGUACGGCCGUAAGGCUA
rnacentral:rRNA from 1 species